GACGAACGCUGGCGGCGGGCUUAACACAUGCAAGUCGAACGAAGUGGCGAACGGGUGAGUAAUACGUGGGUAACCUGCCCUCCUUUUUGGGGUAAGCCUUGAAAACGGGGUCUAAUACGGAAUAAAGGGGGCUGGGCUCGCUGCCUAUCAGCUUGUUGGUGGGUUGAUGGCCUACGAAGGCGGUGACGGGUAGCCGGCCUGAGAGGGUGAUCGGCCACGUUGGUAGUGGGAUACGGCCCAGAGUCCUACUGGAGGCAGCAGAAGCGACACGUCGGCAAUGGGCGGAACCCUGACCGAGCAACGCGGCGUGAGUGUAGAAGGUUUUCGGAUUGUCAAGCUCUGUUGUUAAGGAAGGAGGACUUAACCAGAAAGGGACGGCUGACUACGUGCCAGCAGCCGCGGUAAUAC
rnacentral:rRNA from 1 species